UACGAAGGGGGCUAGCGUUGCUCGGAAUGACUGGGCGUAAAGGGCGCGUAGGCGGCUUGCACCGUCAGAUGUGAAAUUCCUGGGCUUAACCUGGGGGCUGCAUUUGAUACGUGUGGGCUUGAGUGCGGAAGAGGUCGUGGAAUUCCCAGUGUAGAGGUGAAAUUCGUAGAUAUUGGGAAGAACACCGGUGGCGAAGGCGGCGACCUGGUCCGUGACUGACGCUGAGGCGCGAAAGCUAGGGAGCGAACGGG
rnacentral:rRNA from 1 species